rnacentral:rRNA from 1 species
CCUACGGGGGGCAGCAGUGGGGAAUAUUGGACAAUGGGGGCAACCCUGAUCCAGCCAUGCCGCGUGUGUGAAGAAGGCCCUCGGGUUGUAAAGCACUUUCAGUGAGGAAGAACGCCUGGUGGUUAAUACCCAUCAGGAAAGACAUCACUCACAGAAGAAGCACCGGCUAACUCCGUGCCAGCAGCCGCGGUAAUACGGAGGGAGCGAGCGUUAAUCGGAAUUACUGGGCGUAAAGCGCGCGUAGGUGGCUUGAUAAGCCGGUUGUGAAAGCCCCGGGCUCAACCUGGGAACGGCAUCCGGAACUGUCAAGCUAGAGUGCAGGAGAGGAAGGUAGAAUUCCCGGUGUAGCGGUGAAAUGCGUAGAGAUCGGGAGGAAUACCAGUGGCGAAGGCGGCCUUCUGGACUGACACUGACACUGAGGUGCGAAAGCGUGGGUAGCAAACAGGAUUAGAUACCCUAGUAGUC